rnacentral:rRNA from 1 species
CGAAGGGGCUAGCGUUGUUCGGAAUUACUGGGGCGUAAAGCGCACGUAGGCGGAUAUUUAAGUCAGGGGUGAAAUCCCGGGGCUCAACCCCGGAACUGCCUUUGAUACUGGGUAUCUUGAGUGUGGUAGAGGUGAGUGGAAUUGCGAGUGUAGAGGUGAAAUUCGUAGAUAUUCGCAGGAACACCAGUGGCGAAGGCGGCUCACUGGACCACAACUGACGCUGAGGUGCGAAAGCGUGGGGAGCAAACAGGAUU